GGAGGGUAUAGCUCAGUGGUAGAGUGUGUGCCUGGUAUGUACAAGGUCCUGAGUUCAAUCCUCAGCACCUCCA